AUUGAACGCUGGCGGAAUGCUUUACACAUGCAAGUCGAGCGGCAGCGCGGGGCAACCUGGCGGCGAGCGGCGAACGGGUGAGUAAUGCAUCGGAACGUACCCAGUCGUGGGGGAUAACUGUCCGAAAGGACAGCUAAUACCGCAUACGUCCUGAGGGAGAAAGCGGGGGAUCGCAAGACCUCGCGCGAUUGGAGCGGCCGAUGCCGGAUUAGCUAGUCGGUAGGGUAAAGGCCUACCAAGGCGACGAUCCGUAGCUGGUCUGAGAGGACGACCAGCCACACUGGAACUGAGACACGGUCCAGACUCCUACGGGAGGCAGCAGUGGGGAAUUUUGGACAAUGGGGGCAACCCUGAUCCAGCCAUUCCGCGUGAGUGAAGAAGGCC
rnacentral:rRNA from 1 species